AGAGUUUGAUCCUGGCUCAGGAUGAACGCUGGCGGCGUGCUUAACACAUGCAAGUCGAACGGACUCAUAUUGAAACCUAGUGAUUUAUGAGUUAGUGGCGGACGGGUGAGUAACGCGUGGAAACCUGCCGUAUACUGGGGGAUAACACUUAGAAAUAGGUGCUAAUACCGCAUAAGCGCACAGCUUCGCAUGAAGUGGUGUGAAAAACUCUGGUGGUAUACGAUGGUUCCGCGUCUGAUUAGCUUGUUGGUGGGGUAAUGGCUCACCAAGGCGACGAUCAGUAGCCGGCCUGAGAGGGUGAACGGCCACAUUGGGACUGAGACACGGCCCAAACUCCUACGGGAGGCAGCAGUGGGGAAUAUUGCACAAUGGGGGAAACCCUGAUGCAGCGACGCCGCGUGAGUGAAGAAGUAUUUCGGUAUGUAAAGCUCUAUCAGCAGGGAAGAAAAUGACGGUACCUGAUUAAGAAGCCUCGGCUAACUACGUG
rnacentral:rRNA from 1 species